ensembl:lncRNA
GAUUAGUUAAUCUAAAAAAGUUUGUAUCUGCAAUGACACUACCAUGUCAUACAAAUCUGAAACGUCUCAAAUUUGUCUAAAAGUAAAUAAUACUCAACAUAGAAAAUAAAUUAAAAGAAACAAUUUGUUUUCACUUGACACCAGAGUGCUGCUGUGCAGAACACAUACUGGCUUGACUGACUGCAGAAAUUAUUGUGGGAUAUUCUUUUUAGUACAUAAGAGAAAAUAUGAUGCAUAUUUAAAAAAAAAAAAAAAACAUCACAGUAAACAUUAAAGGUGUUCAAAGUUAAUAAAAUUAAAUUAAACAGACUAAAAAAUGCUUUAGUUUUAUCUUUAAUUUGUAUCUUUUUUUCUAGAUAGAUAGAUAGAUAGGUACAUUGUUUGUCCAUUUUUUCUUUUCUUCCAGUGUGGAUCAGGGUGAUUCAAUCCAAUCUUUAUUUUAAAAACCUGAUCAUGGAUAACAAAACAAGGGAUUUUUGAAUAACUGGGCCCUGGAUACUAAAGAGAGAGACAAAUUCUCCAAAUUCACCCAGCACCAUGGUGUAAGAAUGUUGUGGAGGUACUGAGAAAGACUGGAGCUCACCUCUCCUGUGAUGAGCUGCAGGAUACUGGAAUAGAGCUGCGCUGGUCUCUGUUUCUCUCUCAUACACAAACACACACACAUUUCAUCUUGCCCCCCUUCUUCUGUAGUGUUUACUCAGGUCUGACCAGUCAUUCAGGGACUUUCAUGAACUUUUAAAAUGCACCCAAACAACAUUACAUUGAGACAGCAAAACUAUUCCUGGAAUUUGGACCUAAUCACGGCAACAAGUGUCUUUUUAAGUCAGUCAGCUGUAAUGUGUCACCAAUGAUCUGUAAAGAACUGUGUCGUCAAAGAAAAUGAUAAAAAGCAAGAAUGCUUGAAGGGGAUUAUUAAUAAUAAUCAUAAUCAGUUCUUCCACCAAAUAGUAUAGUAGCGUACUAAACAAUCUGCUGUUUAUAACUGAAGGUUGACUUCAACUG